rnacentral:rRNA from 1 species
UACGAAGGGAGCUAGCGUUGUUCGGAAUAACUGGGCGUAAAGGGCGUGUAGGUGGAAAUAUGCGUUAGAUGUGAAAGCCCGGGGCUCAACCCCGGGAGGCGGGCGGAUACUGUCGGGCUAGAGUCCGGAAGAGGCGAGUGGAAUUCCUGGUGUAGCGGUGAAAUGCGCAGAUAUCGGGAAGAACACCCGUGGCGAAGGCGGCUCUCUGGGACGGUACUGACGCUGAGACGCGAAAGCGUGGGGAGCGAACAGG